rnacentral:rRNA from 1 species
CCCCACGGCUCGGCAUCGAGCAGAGGGAAAAGGAGCAAUCCGCUUUGAGAUGGCCUCGCGUCCGAUUAGCUAGUUGGUGAGGUAACGGCCCACCAAGGCAACGAUCGGUAGCCGGACUGAGAGGUUGAACGGCCACAUGGGACUGAGACACGGCCCAGACUCCUACGGGAGGCAGCAGUGGGGAAUAUUGCACAAUGGGGGAAACCCUGAUGCAGCGACGCCGCGUGGAGGAAGAAGGUCUUCGGAUUGUAAACUCCUGUUGUUGAGGAAGAUAAUGACGGUACUCAACAAGGAAGUGACGGCUAACUACGUGCCAGCAGCCGCGGUAAAACGUAGGUCACAAGCGUUGUCCGGAAUUACUGGGUGUAAAGGGAGCGCAGGCGGGCGAUCAAGUUGGAAGUGAAAUCCAUGGGCUCAACCCAUGAACUGCUUUCAAAACUGAUUGUCUUGAGUAGUGCAGAGGUAGGCGGAAUUCCCGGUGUAGCGGUGGAAUGCGUAGAUAUCGGGAGGAACACCAGUGGCGAAGGCGGCCUACUGGGCACCAACUGACGCUGAGGCUCGAAAGUGUGGGUAGCAAACAGGAUUAGAUACCCUGGUAGUCCACACCGUAAACGAUGAUUACUAGGUGUUGGAGGAUUGACCCCUUCAGUGCCGCAGUUAACACAAUAAGUAAUCCACCUGGGGAGUACGACCGCAAGGUUGAAACUCAAAGGAAUUGACGGGGGCCCGCACAAGCAGUGGAGUAUGUGGUUUAAUUCGACGCAACGCGAAGAACCUUACCAAGUCUUGACAUCCUGCGACGGACAUAGAAAUAUGUUUUUCCUUCGGGACGCAGAGACAGGUGGUGCAUGGUUGUCGUCAGCUCGUGUCAUGAGAUGUUGGGUUAAGUCCCGCAACGAGCGCAACCCUUAUGGUCAGUUACUACGCAAGAGGACUCUGGCCAGACUGCCGUUGACAAAACGGAGGAAGGUGGGGAUGACGUCAAAUCAUCAUGCCCUUUAUGACUUGGGCUACACACGUACUACAAUGGCGUUAAACAAAGAGAAGCAAGACCGCGAGGUGGAGCAAAACUCAGAAACAACGUCCCAGUUCGGACUGCAGGCUGCAACUCGCCUGCACGAAGUCGGAAUUGCUAGUAAUCGCAGAUCAGCAUGCUGCGGUGAAUACGUUCCCGGGCCUUGUACACACCGCCCGUCACACCAUGAGAGCCGGGGGGACCCGAAGUCGGUAGUCUAACCGCAAGGAGGACGCCGCCGAAGGUAAAACUGGUGAUUGGGGUGAAGUCGUAACAAGGUA